CUACGGGUUGCUGCAGUGGGGAAUAUUGGACAAUGGGGGAAACCCUGAUCCAGCAAUGCCGCGUGUGUGAAGAAGGCCUGCGGGUUGUAAAGCACUUUCGGUUGGGAGGACUGCUUCUAGCACUAAUAUUGUUGGAAGUUGACGUUACCUUCAGAAGAAGCACCGGCUAACUCCGUGCCAGCAGCCGCGGUAAUACGGAGGGUGCAAGGCGUAAUCGGAAUUACUGGGCGUAAAGCGCGCGUAGGCGGCUAGAUCAGUCGGGUGUGAAAGCCCCGGGCUUAACCUGGGAACUGCAUCCGAUACUGUCUAGCUUGAGUACAGGAGAGGAGAGUGGAAUUCCACAUGUAGCGGUGAAAUGCGUAGAUAUGUGGAGGAACACCAAUGGCGAAGGCAGCUCUCUGGCCUGAUACUGACGCUGAGGUGCGAAAGCGUGGGGAGCAAACAGGAUUAGAUACCCCGGUAGUC
rnacentral:rRNA from 1 species